GCCUGGGUGGCUCAGUUGGUUAAGCAUUUGACUUCGGCUUAGGUCGUGAUCUCACGGUUCGUGGGUUCGAGCCCCGCAUCGGGCU
rnacentral:tRNA from 1 species